GACGAACGCUGGCGGCGUGCUUAACACAUGCAAGUCGAACGGAAAGGCCCUGCUUUUGUGGGGUGCUCGAGUGGCGAACGGGUGAGUAACACGUGAGUAACCUGCCCUUGACUUUGGGAUAACUUCAGGAAACUGGGGCUAAUACCGGAUAGGAGCUCCUGCUGCAUGGUGGGGGUUGGAAAGUUUCGGCGGUUGGGGAUGGACUCGCGGCUUAUCAGCUUGUUGGUGGGGUAGUGGCUUACCAAGGCUUUGACGGGUAGCCGGCCUGAGAGGGUGACCGGCCACAUUGGGACUGAGAUACGGCCCAGACUCCUACGGGAGGCAGCAGUGGGGAAUAUUGCACAAUGGGCGGAAGCCUGAUGCAGCAACGCCGCGUGCGGGAUGACGGCCUUCGGGUUGUAAACCGCUUUCGCCUGUGACGAAGCGUGAGUGACGGUAAUGGGUAAAGAAGCACCGGCUAACUACGUGCCAGCAGCCGCGGUGAUACGUAGGGUGCGAGCGUUGUCCGGAUUUAUUGGGCGUAAGGGGCUCGUAGGUGGUUGAUCGCGUCGGAAGUGUAAUCUUGGGGCUUAACCCUGAGCGUGCUUUCGAUACGGGUUGACUUGAGGAAGGUAGGGGAGAAUGGAAUUCCUGGUGGAGCGGUGGAAUGCGCAGAUAUCAGGAGGAACACCAGUGGCGAAGGCGGUUCUCUGGGCCUUUCCUGACGCUGAGGAGCGAAAGCGUGGGGAGCGAACAGGCUUAGAUACCCUGGUAGUCCACGCUGUAAACGGUGGGUACUAGGUGUGGGGUCCAUUCCACGGGUUCCGUGCCGUAGCUAACGCUUUAAGUACCCCGCCUGGGGAGUACGGCCGCAAGGCUAAAACUCAAAGGAAUUGACGGGGCCCCGCACAAGCGGCGGAGCAUGCGGAUUAAUUCGAUGCAACGCGUAGAACCUUACCUGGGUUUGACAUGGAUCGGGAGUGCUCAGAGAUGGGUGUGCCUCUUUUGGGGUCGGUUCACAGGUGGUGCAUGGCUGUCGUCAGCUCGUGUCGUGAGAUGUUGGGUUAAGUCCCGCAACGAGCGCAACCCCUGUUCACUGUUGCCAGCACGUUAUGGUGGGGACUCAGUGGAGACCGCCGGGGUCAACUCGGAGGAAGGUGGGGAUGACGUCAAGUCAUCAUGCCCCUUAUGUCCAGGGCUUCACGCAUGCUACAAUGGCUGGUACAGAGAGUGGCGAGCCUGUGAGGGUGAGCGAAUCUCGGAAAGCCGGUCUCAGUUCGGAUUGGGGUCUGCAACUCGACCUCAUGAAGUCGGAGUCGCUAGUAAUCGCAGAUCAGCAACGCUGCGGUGAAUACGUUCCCGGG
rnacentral:rRNA from 1 species